AGCUCUACCCAUCAUGAAUAGUGUUAGAUGUAUAUCCUAGAAGUCAAUAUGGCUGACACAUUGUAAUAAAUCUAGGACACAAUUUUAUACUUUAUACAUUGAUUUGAUCAUAAAAAGAUAAGUUUAUUUUUUAUUCAAGUAUGAUGUAUUCUUGAAUCAUCCAUGGAAUUAAUUUUCGAUACAUAUUCUCAAAGUAUUGAGAAUUAGAGACAUGUAUUUAAUUUUUAAAUACUCCCGAUCAUAGAAUCAUCAUGAGAACAGUGAUCGAUCCGAAUAUAUCGACGUACAGAUCGCUUCUUUCAGGAUGGAUGAGUCUUUAAUCUACAGUGUAGACGAGUGUGGGUAGUUAUUAAAGAAUAACUAGUACUGAGCGUGACUAUACGAAAGAUCACUUGGAUUUCUAUUUGAUCGUCAGUAAUUGUCUCGAUGCUGUAGUUGUGUGAAUGAUCUUUUGAUCUGAGAUGGUACUACUGCUUGCAGUGAGACUACUGGAGUUUGAUUGACAUAUAAACAUGGAUCAUAAUGAACUCUUGUAGUGGAUGUUGGCAACAGUUAUCCAUUGUAGGAGUAGGAUGCGCAUCA
rnacentral:lncRNA from 1 species